rnacentral:rRNA from 1 species
UACGUAGGGUGCAAGCGUUGUCCGGAAUUAUUGGGCGUAAAGAGCUCGUAGGCGGCCUGUCGCGUCGGCUGUGAAAACCCGGAGCUCAACUCCGGGCCUGCAGUCGAUACGGGCAGACUGGAGUUCGGCAGGGGAGACUGGAAUUCCUGGUGUAGUGGUGAAAUGCGCAGAUAUCAGGAGGAACACCGGUGGCGAAGGCGGGUCUCUGGGCCGAUACUGACGCUGAGGAGCGAAAGCGUGGGGAGCGAACAGG